UUUCCCACAUUAAUCCUUUUUUUUAGGUAAGUUUAGAAGACAUACCUACAACACCUCAAUAGAGAAAUAAUCCACACAUUUAACAGAGUAAGACAUUUCAUAUUUUCGUUAUUGCUGCUGUGAGUACAGUAGUCAAUUUGAAGGCAAACGUCGUGUACUUCUGAACAAAUGCUAGUAAGUGCCCAUCACUACUUUUAAGGGCAGGAAAAUACGCUUCUUUUUGUUAGCUUAAUCUCUGUGCAAAUGAGACGUUGUAUAUAAAAAUUCUUACUACUUCAUUUGAUAUUUUUAUGUUAACGUCAUUUGACAUGAUGCAUGUUAUAAACCACUACGUGCACAUAUAUAGCUUUUAUUACAUGUAAAUAAAACCCACAUAUGUUUGCAAUCUGAGAUAGGAUUUUUUUUACCCUUAGCUAUUUGCAUGAGGAACCGUUUGAGUCCCGCCGAGAGCUUCCACAUCUGAUGGGGGCAGACCUUAGCUUUGCUAGGCAGAACAAGUUAUUUUUAUAUCUGCAUGUGUCAUUUCCUUCUUCGUCUCCAAAUGGUCAGUGCUUUUACGUCAGAGUUUAAACAAUAUACUGAGUUGAGUGUUGAACUCAGAGGUGCUUCAGUGGUGUUUGAAUGCUCGUGCUGGGCAAAAGACGGAGCAGCCCAGCCCUGCCAGAAGGUGCCAGCACUGUGGCUGGUCCAUCCGAUGCGCAUGCUUUCCUGAUACAGCCACACAUAUGGGGAAUGUGUACUAAACUCAGGACACUUGUUCCCUAAGGACUUUGCAGUGCUAGGAUAAAUGAACUUCAAGGACUCACUGUUACUCUUUGUUAGAUUAAAAUAUUUGUUAUUUGAGGUAUAUGGGGACGGAGUUGUAGACAUUCCCUUAUGCAGCUUGGUCCAUUUAGUGAAAUGUUUUCUAUUCCCUUUUCAGUAUUUCUCCGUAACAUCAAGCACAGAUAGGAUAAGAGGUGAAGAUAUCCUAAAGCAGUACUGUGCCAGAGUCUAACACUAAUGCAUGUAAGCGCUGCAAGGUACAACUUGUUUUGUUUCAAGAGUGCUCCAGACGUUUAUGAUUUUGACAGUUUCCUGCUACUGACUGCAGAACUUAGACUCUUCUACUAGGUACAGCUUACAAAUUCAGCAUAGCUUAUGAAUGUUACAAAUUUAUUUUGACUACUAGGGACCUGAUUCAGCUGCCAUUAAAACCAAAGGAGAAAGAUUCCCAGUGGUUUUGGUGGGUCUCACAUCCGUCCUUGUGUCUCUGGAGACCACUACUAUAACCAAAUGCUGAGUGUGAAUUAAAGACAAAUAUUCAAGUGUAUUUUUUUCCUUCUUGUAAUAGCUUUGGAUGAAAUUUAUUAACCACUUUCUUUGUGCUUUGUUGUAAUUCUCUCUGUCAGCCUCAAAGCACACAUAUCCUGUCCUCCAGGAAAACAUAACUGUUCCACAAAGAUCUGCGUUAGUGUGCAGAGGACAGGGUUCAAGCUUCAGGGGCCUGGGAACUGAAAAAGCACUAAACAGUCUGUCAGCUGAUAAUUUGGUCACUUCAAUUAGCAAGUCCGUGCAAAUCGAUUACUUUUACCUGUGCCUUGUAAAUGCAUUGCCCUUUCUGAGAAGGUAAAUCUGGGGAUGGAAGAGCCUUAUGGCUGGAGAGGCUGAUCCUUGUUGGAUCGAGCAGUGGGGUGUCAGGCCAUCUUACAACCAACUCUGGCACAGCCUCGGCUCUUACCUAGUGCUGCUGCUGUCCAUGGGACUGGCUGUGCUCGCAGCCAUCAGUCCUCACCGUCGGGUUGUGGUGCAGCACCUGGGAGCAGCUGCGCUGGCUCUGGCAUCUGCCUGGACAGGAUACCUGUGCAGAGAAGGCAAAGAAAGAGCCCCCCUAGAGGCUGCUGUCCACCUCCUCCCGUGCCACCAUCCCGCUCUGAGGUUCCUCGCUGUGGCUGAGCACAAUGGCUGCAGCGAAGAAAGUACUCAAAGUUCAUUGGCAAAGCAGCAUGCAGCCAGCUACUCACCUGGACCAGACCGAGCAUGUUUUUAAUCAUCUUUUUAACUGAUUAAUAUACUUUAAGAGUGACUGAGAGGCUAGUGAGAGCAGCCCAACGUUAGAUUUAAAGUUCACUAGGAAAAAAAAAAAAUCAUUCGAGGAUUUCACGAGCAAUGACACUUGGAUGGUAUUUGGGAAAUCUUUUUCUUUCAAGACUAUCUUGCGAUUAACUAUGGGAGCAGUACAUCAAAGCUGCACUGACUUCAAAGCUCAGAACCUCUUACGGCUUCCAGCUAUUACUAAAACCUACCACUUCACCCUGCCAGCAGCUCAUCUCAGCUGCCUCUGCAAGUUACACCCAUCUACUUCCUGCCUCCUGCUUUUGGGGAGGGAAAAAAAAA